AGAGACAGCAGUCGCCGCGGUAAUACAGAGGGUGCGAGCGUUAAUCGGAUUUACUGGGCGUAAAGCGUGCGUAGGCGGCUUUUUAAGUCGGAUGUGAAAUCCCUGAGCUUAACUUAGGAAUUGCAUUCGAUACUGGGAAGCUAGAGUAUGGGAGAGGAUGGUAGAAUUCCAGGUGUAGCGGUGAAAUGCGUAGAGAUCUGGAGGAAUACCGAUGGCGAAGGCAGCCAUCUGGCCUAAUACUGACGCUGAGGUACGAAAGCAUGGGGAGCAAACAGGAUUAGAGACCCCCGUAGUCCCUGUCUCUUAUAC
rnacentral:rRNA from 1 species